CCUGGACAACCUGCAGGUUGUGUCGGGACCGGGGACGUCACGAGGCCUUCUGACGAAGGUGGUAGUGGCAGACCGUCUCCCCUCACCAGCUGGGGCAUGGGAGGCUUCCUGUUACUGACGGUGCUGGGCGGGCUCAGUGGCUGUGGUGAGGGGCUCACUUGCAGCUCCUGCAGCUGGUGUGGAGGGGGAGCCUGCCAAGGCAAGAGUAGGGGGGGAUUGAGCAUUGUUUUCAUUCAUGACCGAAUAUAGUGUGCUGUGCUAUGGUGGUUUAAUGCAAAAAAUGAGAACUGUACAAAGCCUAGUGGCUCACGCAGGACAACUAGUGUUCAUGUCCACCCACAACCACUCAUGUCUAUCGGACUAUUGACACAAUUGAAUGACCGCACAUCUAUUAUGUUGUCUGGCAGCACGUUCCAUCUUCAACAUCCAUCUUUCUCUUCGGAAUCAAAACUUGUUCAUACCUUCAGAAGUCUCCCACCUUAUCGUCGACGCUAGAUGCGUUGCCCUUCCGGUUAUUGAAGAGGGAGAGGACGUGGUCAUCGUCGUUGGCAUCGGUGCUGGGGAAGCGGCUGAAGGGCGUCCCUUGCAGCACCUCCGUCGUCGUCGUCAGCUUCCCCGUGGUGGAGCCGGAGGUCCCUCUGAGGAUGGUGUCUGGGUGCACCUCCUCGGCGAUGCUGGCGUGGCAACCAGACCACACAGGGGCACGAGAAUGUAAUGUAUUAACAGUUGGUUCAUUCUUACUGAAGGUGUACAUACACAGAAGAUUUGUUUGACUGUUUAUACCAUGUUCUCAGUAUAAAGACCGCUUUACCCUGUCGUAAUAACCGCGGCCUCUAUUGUAAUAACCCAAUGUUCCCCAGUAUUAAUCCUGUUAUCUUGUUAUCUCUCGUGAUCGUACUAUACGCUCUCUGUUG